AGUAGAGGAAUUAGUUAAUCAAUGAACUGCUUCUCUACAUCUGCUGGACAUGACAUUGUUAGUGACAAAGACCUAGUCCAGUUGUUUAGAAAGAUCUACAUUGGCAGAAAACACUAGGAAGAAACUUGCAGAAAGCAAAGGAAGAAAGAAGGAGAGAGAGAGAGGGAGAGAGGGAGAGAGGGAGAGAGGGAGAGAGGGAGAGAGGGAGAGAGGGAGAGAGGGACGGAGGGAGAGAGUAAAAGGAUAGGAGCGGGAGUGAACGGCCCUUACACAUCCAUGUAGCUCACUGACCUUGAUUCCGAAGACAACACUGGAGUUGUGGCUGUGAGUGGUGCCUGGCUGAGGACUUCAGUCAUAAGAUUCUGCUGCCUUCUGCUUGAUCUGAGCUCCAAAGCAGAAAGGAGGGACUCUCACUUCCCUUCAGUGCACCGGGGUGGCGUUGGACCGGCUCAAAAGCAUCUCUAUUCUUCUACACCUUUUCCUCUUUAUGU
rnacentral:lncRNA from 1 species